AACGAACGCUGGCGGCAUGCCUAACACAUGCAAGUCGAACGAGACCUUCGGGUCUAGUGGCGCACGGAUGCGUAACACGUGGGAAUCUGCCCUUUGCUUCGGAAUAACAGUUAGAAAUGACUGCUAAUACCGGAUGAUGUCGAAAGACCAAAGAUUUAUCGGCAAAGGAUGAGCCCGCGUAGGAUUAGGUAGUUGGUGGGGUAAAGGCCUACCAAGCCGACGAUCCUUAGCUGGUCUGAGAGGAUGAUCAGCCACACUGGGACUGAGACACGGCCCAGACUCCUACGGGAGGCAGCAGUGGGGAAUAUUGGACAAUGGGCGAAAGCCUGAUCCAGCAAUGCCGCGUGAGUGAUGAAGGCCUUAGGGUUGUAAAGCUCUUUUACCAGGGAUGAUAAUGACAGUACCUGGAGAAUAAGCUCCGGCUAACUCCGUG
rnacentral:rRNA from 1 species